CGGCCUUUGAGACCGGCGCACGGGUGCGUAACGCGUAUGCAAUCUGCCUUACACUAAGGGAUAGCCCAGAGAAAUUUGGAUUAAUACCUUAUAGUAUAUUGAUGUGGCCUCACAUUAUUAUUAAAGAUUUAUCGGUGUAAGAUGAACAUGCGUCCCAUUAGCUAGUUGGUAUGGUAACGGCAUACCAAGGCAAUGAUGGGUAGGGGUCCUGAGAGGGAGAUCCCCCACACUGGUACUGAGACACGGACCAGACUCCUACGGGAGGCAGCAGUGAGGAAUAUUGGACAAUGGGCGCAAGCCUGAUCCAGCCAUGCCGCGUGCAGGAUGAAGCAUCUAUGGUGUGUAAACUGCUUUUAUACAGGAAGAAACCCCUUUACGUGUAGAGGAUUGACGGUACUGUAGGAAUAAGGAUCGGCUAACUCCGUGCCAGCAGCCGCGGUAAUACGGAGGAUCCAAGCGUUAUCCGGAAUCAUUGGGUUUAAAGGGUCCGUAGGCGGUCUUAUAAGUCAGUGGUGAAAUCCGGCAGCUCAACUGUCGAACUGCCAUUGAUACUGUAAGACUUGAAUUACUGUGAAGUAACUAGAAUAUGUAGUGUAGCGGUGAAAUGCUUAGAUAUUACAUGGAAUACCAAUUGCGAAGGCAGGUUACUAACAUUAUAUUGACGCUGAUGGAC
rnacentral:rRNA from 1 species